GAAAUGCGAUAAGUAAUGUGAAUUGCAGAAUUCAGUGAAUCAUCGAAUCUUUGAACGCACAUUGCGCCCGCCAGUAUUCUGGCGGGCAUGCCUGUCCGAGCGUCAUUUCAACCCUCGAACCCCUCCGGGGGGUCGGCGUUGGGGAUCGGCCCUUUACGGGGCCGGCCCCGAAAUACAGUGGCGGUCUCGCCGCAGCCUCUCCUGCGCAGUAGUUUGCACACUCGCAUCGGGAGCGCGGCGCGUCCACAGCCGUUAAACACCCCAAACUUCUGAAAUGUUGACCUCGGAUCAGGUAGGAAUACCCGCUGAACUUAA
rnacentral:rRNA from 1 species